GACGAACGCUGGCGGCGUGCUUAACACAUGCAAGUCGAACGGAAAGGCCCUGCUUUUGUGGGGUGCUCGAGUGGCGAACGGGUGAGUAACACGUGAGUAACCUGCCCUUGACUUUGGGAUAACUUCAGGAAACUGGGGCUAAUACCGGAUAGGAGCUCCUGCUGCAUGGUGGGGGUUGGAAAGUUUCGGCGGUUGGGGAUGGACUCGCGGCUUAUCAGCUUGUUGGUGGGGUAGUGGCUUACCAAGGCUUUGACGGGUAGCCGGCCUGAGAGGGUGACCGGCCACAUUGGAACUGAGAUACGGCCCAGACUCCUACGGGAGGCAGCAGUGGGGAAUAUUGCACAAUGGGCGGAAGCCUGAUGCAGCAACGCCGCGUGCGGGAUGACGGCCUUCGGGUUGUAAACCGCUUCCGCCUGUGACGAAGCGUGAGUGACGGUAAUGGGUAAAGAAGCACCGGCUAACUACGUG
rnacentral:rRNA from 1 species